rnacentral:rRNA from 1 species
UACGAAGGGGGCUAGCGUUGUUCGGAAUCACUGGGCGUAAAGGGCGCGUAGGCGGCUUUAUAAGUCGGGGGUGAAAGCCUGUGGCUCAACCACAGAAUUGCCUUCGAUACUGUAGAGCUUGAGACCGGAAGAGGUAAGUGGAACUGCGAGUGUAGAGGUGAAAUUCGUAGAUAUUCGCAAGAACACCAGUGGCGAAGGCGGCUUACUGGUCAGGUUCUGACGCUGAGGCGCGACAGCGUGGGGAGCAAACAGG